rnacentral:lncRNA from 1 species
UUGGCUUGGAGAAGAGUGCUCAUUGUCGCACCAUGAAAUGGGGUCUUGCUUUGUUGCCCAGGCCAGAGUGCAGUGGCAUGAUCUCAGCUCACUGCAACCCCCACCUCCCAGGCUCAAGCAAUCCUCCCACCUCAGCCUCCAGAGUAGCUGGAACUACAGGGUUCCGAUGACAGGCUAUUAAAUUAUGAUAUGCUCCUGAGAAGAUGCAAA